rnacentral:misc_RNA from 1 species
UCUCCGUAGGUGAACCUGCGGAGGGAUCAUUACCGACCGAGGGACGCUCGCCGUAUCCGCAUCCCUAAGACCUUACCAAACUCUGUAUCCUUGGGGGCGCCCACUCCCCCGUGCCGGGUCCCCCAACGGACCACACCAACGCUUCCCCUUCGCGACCAAGUUUUAACGGAAUCAAUUGAAACUUUCGACAACGGAUCUCUUUGUUCAAGCAACGAUUAAAAACGCAGCAGCACGGACGAACACCCCAUUGGACCCCAGUCACCAUUCGUCAACUCGUAG